CCUACGGGUGGCAGCAGUGGGGAAUAUUGGGCAAUGGGCGCAAGCCUGACCCAGCAACGCCGCGUGAAGGAAGAAGGCUUUCGGGUUGUAAACUUCUUUUCUCAGGGACGAAGCAAGUGACGGUACCUGAGGAAUAAGCCACGGCUAACUACAUGCCAGCAGCCGCGGUAAUACGUAGGUGGCAAGCGUUAUCCGGAUUUACUGGGUGUAAAGGGCGUGUAGGCGGGACUGCAAGUCAGAUGUGAAAACUAUGGGCUCAACCCAUAGCCUGCAUUUGAAACUGUACUUCUUGAGUGCUGGAGAGGCAAUCGGAAUUCCGUGUGUAGCGGUGAAAUGCGUAGAUAUACGGAGGAACACCAGUGGCGAAGGCGGAUUGCUGGACAGUAACUGACGCUGAGGCGCGAAAGCGUGGGGAGCAAACAGGAUUAGAUACCCUUGUAGUC
rnacentral:rRNA from 1 species